GGUAAACAAUGGUCAGUAAAUUAGUGAACACGGUGUCAGAGGCUGUCUCAAAACAUAAUCCAAACCACUUGUCUGGGAUAGAGAAGUAAAAUAAAUGUUAGUGAUUCACGGCAAUAUUGGUACUACUCUGCGCACGACUAGUAAAUCGCAUCUAAGAGAAAAUUUUGUUUCUCCAACGAUGAGUUAGAAGUCAAUGAACAGACGAAUAAAGCAUUUGGAGGCCAUGAUUUUAAUUCACCCAGAAAUAAGCCUUAGAUACCCAAUAAUGUCUAAUUCACACACACUUAUCUAAUCCACACAGGGGAUUAUACUUAUAAUGUUUUUCAAAACUGAAAUAUAUUAUGAUGUACCACAUACACGGAACUGGGAAGUGGAGCCAACGCAUUGACAAAUUUUCAGACGUUGACUUUCUUGGAGAUAAUUCUACCGACUCAGAUGAAGCCAUACAAUAUUGGAGAGAAUUAUGAAACUUAAAGGUAAUACAAUUUUGCUGACCAAGAAUCCAAUUUUAACAACGCAGAGGGCCUCAACAUAUUUAAAUUGCAAAGAAACACAUGACUAGUUAUUGGACAUUGGUAUCUUUUCUGAAGGGAAAGUGCAUCUAGUUGGAUGCGUUAAACAGGUAAAGAUUGAAUGUUCCCAGUUGUUUUCAAAUACGUCGGGAAAAACAAAAAGAUUAUAUUUUUGACAAAAAUUGAUGUUGUUUUGCUGGUGUAACUAAUAAAAUAUCUAGGUGUAGAUACAUGAUUUGUUCGUCCGAAUGUUCCUAUUAGCAUUUUCUAUACAAUUUUUAGAACAAUUUCAC
rnacentral:lncRNA from 1 species